GCGAUUACUGCCGGCACAUCGCGAAUAAAGAUUGAUUGCUGAACCCGUUGUGUACAUUGUCUCCACGAAACCCCAAAAGAACCGCCGGGUAACCAGAGACGUUGCAGUCAUCCGUCAGCUCGGAUGGGCCCAUAAAAUAACUACCAGUGGACUAAGAAACUCAGUCAGGUUUUGAACUUCCAAAAUGAAUCUCAUUAUUAACCAGCAUUGGAUCUACCAAGACCUUCUCACCCAACAAUCGUGACACUGCUGGCUUUAGAAAGUGGUCCGAUGUGGGACUGAUUUACCUCCACCAGCUAUUUAAUGAGGACAAGCUCAAGACGUUUGAGCAGCUGAAAAAGGAUUUUAAUCUGCCUAAAACAGAUUUCUUCCAAUAGUUGAGAACUUUUCUAACGACAAAGAGUGGCAAAAGUUUGUAAAUUGUGCGCCCAAUCGGAAGGUUUUUAAUAGAAAUACAGAUGGUUAAAGAAGAUAAGAAAACAAUAAGUUAGCCGUAGAACAUCUACAUAAUUGCCUACAAUUAAGCGGAGAUGGGAGGCGGAAAUUACCUGGGAGGAAAUGUGCACAGAGGCACACCUAUAGUUUCAAACUCAAACACUUAGAGGGAGUUUAAAUAGAAAGUAAUUACCCGAUUCUUUAGAACUCCAGAAAUAGGAGCCAACUUGGUCUGGCAGAAGAUGCUGUCAAUCACACACAUAUAUUCUGGCCAUGCCCCAAGUUAGAUGCAUAUGGGAGAGAAGUCUUAUAUCCAAGAGACAAAAAGUAUGGGACUAUCAAAUAGAAAGAAUCACAGACUCAUCAAGGCUGUAAAAGCUUAUCUUUACAAAACGAUGGGGUCCUGUCACAGGAUUAUUAACACAAUGAGGGUUAAUUACUGCAUGUUGCUGGGCCCUCUGGCUGAACUGUGACCCGUUACGUCUCUCUACGCACACAUCAUUCGAAACCUUUUUAAUAAGCACAUGUGGCACUGAGGUGAUCUGAGAGGCAGAAUUGGGCAGAAUUCCACCAGGUGGAGAAUGUUGAACUAGCAACUCUUCCCGCUGUGCUCGUGCACUUCGCUGUGUUCUCAAAUCCCCGUCAUUUGACGGCUGCGUUUGAAGACGUUUUCCCUCUGCAGACCGCACGCCGCGCAGGGUCGCUGUUGAGAUGGAAGAAGCCCAGCAGCUAACUUAGUGGUGAGUAAAGUGGGGGGGUCGGGGGUCAACACACACACACACACACACACACCGGUAGUACAAACAAACCUGCGUUAACUGCGUUGAAAUGUUUUAUUGAGUGAAUUUCGGCCACUAUAUUGGCAUAGAUUAAUGCCUCGACUUUGACAGGGAGUCCUGCGUCAUUACAUUACAUUACAUUACAUUACAUUACAUGUCAUUUAGCUGACGCUUUUAUCCAAAGCGACUUACAAUAAGUGCAUUCAACCAUAGGGUACAAACUCAGGAGAACAAGAAACAAGAAAGUGCAAUUUCCUCAAAUAAGCCAAUUUACAAUUUGCUAUAGAUGAGUGACGUUACAAGUACAAUUUAAGUGCUACAAUUUGUUAGUCUUUAGUCGAGGUAGAGUCUGAAGAGGUGUGUCUUUAGUUUGCGGCGGAAGAUCUGAAGGCUCUCUGCGGUCCUGAUGUCUUCAGAGAGCUCGUUCCACCAUUUCGGCGCAAGGACAGCAAAGAGUCGAGACCUAGUCGAGUGUUUUGCUCUCAGUGAGGGAGGGACGAGCAGUGUUGCAGAUGCAGAGCGGAGAGUGCGGGUUGGGAUGUCGGGUUUGACCAUGUCCUGGAUGUACGCUGGACCCGAUUAAAGAGACAUGUGGGAUUGGCACACACGGAGAAGAACAACGACAAUCUACAACUAUAUGGGUGGGGUGAUGAGGCAGUUGGAGGCGGCCGGGGGGCAGGUGAGUAUGCAGAGUGCAAUCAGGGGAAAGACAAACACACACACACACACACACACACACACACACACACACACACACACACACACACGGUCAGAUACAUGAGGCUAACGAGACGUUACACAUACUAGUCACCAUUGCACCCGGUACCAGUAAGAAUCACAUUAAGCAUUUAUAAUCCUUCUGAAGUAAAAGUACAGAAUAAUAUUUUGUAUAUGAAUAACAAUAAUUAUAUGAUAUUAGUGCUGUGCAAAGACACAAGAAUACGUUUAAUCAAUUAAUUACGUGAUUAACAGCGAUUAAUGCGCACAAUUCAAUAAUACAUAAAAAACUAUUAAAGAAAGUAAGUAAGUAUUACAUUUUCUGAACAGGUAGCAGGAGAAACAUUUGUCUUUUAUCAGGGAACAGUUAGGGUCCCUGCAGCGUGAGGUAAAGUGCUCUAGCACAGAAGAAAAAAGUACACAGCUGGAAUGUGCGGAGCAGGGGACUUUUUAGUCGGCAAAGCCUGUGGAUUUCCUUCAGAAUCUUUCAGCGAUGCAGGUUGAGCACUUACACAACGACACAAUUCACCUGGCCGUGGGCGACUGUGCAGUGGGGAGCACGGUCGUCCUCCGAUCAGAGGGUUGUCGGUUCCAUCCCAGGCCCGGCUAACCCGCAUGUCGAUGUGUCCUUGGGCAAGACGCUUAACCCAACAUGCUCCUGUAGCUGCGACUACAGUGUGUGGAUGGUAGUUACUGAUGGGCAGGUGUCACUGUGUGUGGUUCUCCUGUCAUCAGGGUAUAAAUGGGUGUGAAUGGGUGAAUGAUGUCAUGUAGUGUUAAAGCGCUUUGAGUGGUCAGAAGACUAGAAAAGCGCUAAACAAGUACAGUCGAUUUACAAUACAAUACAGUACUUUUACUUUUAACGUAUCUUUCUCGCAUUGGUUUGUCGACGGUUCUCCUUCACGCCGUAGCCGAGGUUUGGCUCCUCUGGUGGUUUGCGUAGCUGUUUGGCCGCCAUCAGCGCUUUUCACUGCAGUGUUUCCGCUGGCAUCAUGUGGAAUGAACGCCUGCUCACACACAGGUGAAAUUUGCUUUUGUGACGUAUCUUUGCAUGUGUUUUAUCAAAGUCUGACCACGAGCUCAUCUCUCUGACCUUUACGCCACGAGUGCUGUGUUGCUCAUUUAUUUAUGUCUCACUCUAAUGUAUUCACGAAGCCCUCAUUUAUUUACCAAGUAAUAUCUGCUGACUGGACUUUUGAAAGGAUAAUUAAUGAAUAAUUAGAAUAUGCCUUAAUUAAACAAUGAAUCCCAAAACUGCUGAAACAGGGUUUUGUAAGUAAAUAUUUUUGCAGUCAGUUCAGAGGCUACAAUGUGUGUUCAUAGUGUGCAUGAAUGAGUAGAGAUGCUCAAAUUAAUGAUAUGUUUAAUGGAACUGUAGCCAGUGAGGAAAUGUCCCUCACGUGAUACCAUAGGUUUAAGCCACUCCCACUUCCUGGUUCGCCAAUUAGUCUGGGUAUAAAGGCUCCAUUUUACGACUCUACAGGACCAUGCUGUCUUACUAGGGUGUCCAUUUGCUUCACGUCAAAAAGGAGGACACUUUGCAUACACGGGGACACGGAAGCAGAUAUUUGUUUGGUGUUAUCGGUUUUAAAUUUUACUAUGUUUUUCCACCAGAUUACAUAAAGGUGCAUACACAUACCACAUAGCUAAUAAAAAAUAUACAAGAUACAGAUCAUGACAACGUGCCCUCCCAAUUCAGAGCACAUAGGUCUAAUAAUAUUUUUUAUGCUAAUUAAAUUAUUUUGAGCUGUAUGACAUUCUGACGGCAGCCGCGCGCACAGAGCUGAGCAUGUGAGGUGAGAGCUGUCCUGUCUGUUAAAAUGAGCAGUGGGAUACAGUAGUAGUUUGUCCUUUCACACUGUGACACAGCCCGGUAGCACCCCCCGAAAAUGUAACCAAUGAAAUUACUUAUUUGACUAACGAGGUAAUGUGUCAAAAGGCGGACCUUUUCAGUUAUUUUCUCAAAAGGAGGAGAAAUGAGCGUCCAGCCGGCCGGGGCAUUUAAAAGCCGGACGAAUGGCCACCCUAUGUCUUCCUGUGUCGGAGUCUGGUCUUGACAACCCGUUUGGAGCUAGUACGUAGUUUUUUUACCCGUGUUUUAGAAAGAACAAACUUUCCCUCAGUGACGCUCUGGUUUUUGCCCCAGACCCAGUGCCUCGAGGAGGCCCAAAUCGGGUGGGAGCCGACCCAGGUGGAGAGAAUGCAGCCCAGGCCGUGACGCGCUGCUGUUUUGCUUGGUUUUGUUUUGUUCCUGUUCAGUUGGAUCACGCUGUGCUAGUUUUUCUGUGUCUUGAACAAAUCAUGAUUUGUCCCCCAGAAAUUUCUACACUGUAUUUGUUUGUGUUUAGGAGUGCGUGGGGCAGGCUGCGGCGUGGCUACCCGGAUGGUGGUGGGGCUGGUUGGACUGGGCCUCACUUUCUCCUCCCCUUUUUUCUUAGUUGCAUGUUUUUGGUUUUUGAUUUACAUUGUUUUGCGUGAGUGUGGAUGCGGCGCUGGAGGGAGUGAGGGCCUUGUCCCAGAGUUUGUCCCCUCUCUUUUCCCUUCUUAGCCCGCUGCAGCCUACGGCACCAAUAGAAUUGAAUUUGUUUAUUAAAACUUAUUUUCCUCUUUGACGACAUUCCCAGAGCUGAUGGGAAUUAUUAAAAUGAAUUGUUACCUUUUUGAUAUUUUAAGAAAAUAAAUAUUGUUGCUUUGGUCUGUUUACACUGGUCAUCUGUGGGUCAUAAUUAAUAUCCCUAAGGGGACGAUAACCGCCCCUCCGUACCUACCGGUGGUUACAUAACAAUACUGUCAUAGUGUUAUAAUUAGCAUUGUUUAAUCUUGACUUAUGGCUUUGUUUUGUGUCUAGGGUUGGAGCUGAUGCUCACUUUGGGGUUAGACUACAUUUACAACACCUUUACAGUUAAAGUCUUCUCUGCUGCAAUAACACCGAACACAGCUGCUGGAUUCAACGCUUCGCCACUUAGCUCCUUUAGCAUAGGAACCAUAAGAAAGGAAAGAAGAUCAUUUGCAAUAUUUAAAAAGUGACUUAUCAUUUGGACGUUCAUGAAAAAUAACGAUUAUGACGGAGAAGCUUAUCUAAUGUAAGUAACCAAGUAGCAUAACUCAUUUAUAGUGCAACCUUGUUAAUAAAGUGAUACUUUGAACCUGUUUUUGUAUGUUGUAUGCAGAACUCCUUCAUCUAACACACGGACGAAGGAAUCUAAGAUGCUCUUCUUUGUUGUGCAUAAGCAGAGAAACGGUCAGUGACGUUAAAUCUUAACUACGUAGCUCAGUGAAAGCGGAGUCGGAUUCCCUAAACAACGCGGUUUCCUUUCCUACAUCCUCGUGAAUUCUCCUAACGAUGUUUCCUCGUCCCCCUGCCGUUUUCCACACAGCUCAAGGGAUAGUGGUUAGGAAUAGACGUUAGGAAGUAAUUCUUUGACAGUUUGAAUCCAGCCACUUUCACACACAUAAGCUAACUUCAUGUUCUCAUGGAAACUUUUCAAGUGAACAGUCUAAUUAGUGAAGCGGCAACUCAACCUUAACUUUCCCCCACGUAUGAGCACGUUUCUUUUUCCUGACAGUGCAACAUUGUGCUCACGUACACACUCCAUUUACCCUGCGGGUGAAAACCAACCUAAUUCGGUUUCUAUUUGGUGGAAAAUUCCUUCGAUUGUGGAGUCUAUUGUUAAUCCAUGAGGAUCUCGGUCAGCACGGAUGCUUUUCCCACAGGCGGCGUGUAAACGCUAACCUCACACCCGCUCCUCCUGCUCAGAGUGGAGAGCUGUUUCUCCAAUCAGAGGGUUGUUGGUGCAACCGCG
ensembl:lncRNA